ACCUAAGUGGCUCAGUUGGUUGAGCAUCAGACUUGAUUUCAGCUUGGAUUGUGAUCUCAGGGUCUUGGGAUCAAAUCCCACAUUGGGCU
rnacentral:tRNA from 1 species